AUUGAACGCUGGCGGCAGGCCUAACACACGCAAGUCGAGCGGUUGAGGUAGCUUGCUACCGAUGCAGCGGCGAACGGGUGAGUAAUACAUGGGAAUCUGCCUGGUAGUGGGGGACAACGUUUCGAAAGGAACGCUAAUACCGCAUACGCCCUACGGGGGGGAGGGGGGGAUCGCAAGACCUCUCGCUAUCAGAUGAGCCCAUGUCAGAUUAGCUAGUUGGUGAGGUAAAGGCUCACCAAGGCGACGAUCUGUAACUGGUCUGAGAGGAUGAUCAGUCACACUGGAACUGGGACACGGUCCAGACUCCUACGGGAGGCAGCAGUGGGGAAUAUUGGACAAUGGGGGCAACCCUGAUCCAGCCAUGCCGCGUGUGUGAAGAAGGCCUUAGGGUUGUAAAGCACUUUCAGUGGGGAGAAAGGUGAUUCACCUAAUACGUGAGUCAAUUGAUGCUACCCACAGAAGAAGCACCGGCUAACUCCGUGCCAGCAGCCGCCGUAA
rnacentral:rRNA from 1 species